rnacentral:rRNA from 1 species
GAUGAACGCUGGCGGCGUGCCUAAUACAUGCAAGUCGAGCGAACGGACGAGAAGCUUGCUUCUCUGAUGUUAGCGGCGGACGGGUGAGUAACACGUGGAUAACCUACCUAUAAGACUGGGAUAACUUCGGGAAACCGGAGCUAAUACCGGAUAAUAUUUUGAACCGCAUGGUUCAAAAGUGAAAGACGGUCUUGCUGUCACUUAUAGAUGGAUCCGCGCUGCAUUAGCUAGUUGGUAAGGUAACGGCUUACCAAGGCAACGAUGCAUAGCCGACCUGAGAGGGUGAUCGGCCACACUGGAACUGAGACACGGUCCAGACUCCUACGGGAGGCAGCAGUAGGGAAUCUUCCGCAAUGGGCGAAAGCCUGACGGAGCAACGCCGCGUGAGUGAUGAAGGUCUUCGGAUCGUAAAACUCUGUUAUUAGGGAAGAACAUAUGUGUAAGUAACUGUGCACAUCUUGACGGUACCUAAUCAGAAAGCCACGGCUAACUACGUGCCAGCAGCCGCGGUAGUACGUAGGUGGCAAGCGUUAUCCGGAACUAUUGGGCGUAAAGCGCGCGUAGGCGGUUUUUUAAGUCUGAUGUGAAAGCCCACGGCUCAACCGUGGAGGGUCAUUGGAAACUGGAAAACUUGAGUGCAGAAGAGGAAAGUGGAAUUCCAUGUGUAGCGGUGAAAUGCGCAGAGAUAUGGAGGAACACCAGUGGCGAAGGCGACUUUCUGGUCUGUAACUGACGCUGAUGUGCGAAAGCGUGGGGAUCAAACAGGAUUAGAUACCCUGGUAGUCCACGCCGUAAACGAUGAGUGCUAAGUGUUAGGGGGUUUCCGCCCCUUAGUGCUGCAGCUAACGCAUUAAGCACUCCGCCUGGGGAGUACGACCGCAAGGUUGAAACUCAAAGGAAUUGACGGGGACCCGCACAAGCGGUGGAGCAUGUGGUUUAAUUCGAAGCAACGCGAAGAACCUUACCAAAUCUUGACAUCCUUUGACAACUCUAGAGAUAGAGCCUUCCCCUUCGGGGGACAAAGUGACAGGUGGUGCAUGGUUGUCGUCAGCUCGUGUCGUGAGAUGUUGGGUUAAGUCCCGCAACGAGCGCAACCCUUAAGCUUAGUUGCCAUCAUUAAGUUGGGCACUCUAAGUUGACUGCCGGUGACAAACCGGAGGAAGGUGGGGAUGACGUCAAAUCAUCAUGCCCCUUAUGAUUUGGGCUACACACGUGCUACAAUGGACAAUACAAAGGGCAGCGAAACCGCGAGGUCAAGCAAAUCCCAUAAAGUUGUUCUCAGUUCGGAUUGUAGUCUGCAACUCGACUACAUGAAGCUGGAAUCGCUAGUAAUCGUAGAUCAGCAUGCUACGGUGAAUACGUUCCCGGGUCU